UGCUGUCUGGUCACCCUAGGAGCAGUAGAGAAGUUGGAUACUCUUCACAACAAUUCUAACCACAAAGGAAGACCACUGUACUUCUGAUAGAGGUUUGGAGGAGCAUACAACCAAGUGAGAAGGUGGACAUUCCAUGCCAGAGUGGGAUCUGAAACCCUUUCUCCGUACCAGGCACAAAGUUUUAUUCAGUGCACAGGAUGGACAAGCUGUAAGGAUCAACCAAAGUUGUGUACUACAGGAGACUUAUCUGCAGGACCCCAGCUUCCUUUGUUGCAGAAGUUUGAAGAGGUAUAAAUUCCAAGCAACUGCAGACUGGCUCUGGAGUCUUUCAGAGUAUAGAGGGACUUAUCUGUGUUCUCUGAAAACAACUUAAGCCCACCUAAGGGAAAAAGUUCUUCACCAUACUUUUGACCUCCCUUGGGAAACCGAACUGCUGAAGCCCAUGAUGACUGCUAUCAGAAAGAUGGAACGGGCCACAGUGUCUACAGCAUCCACUCGGAGAGAUGUCUGGGCUAAUGAUUGUCCUUCAGCACUGACAGCUUAAAACUACUCUUUGUUCCACAGGGCGGUUCUCAAUAAAUGCUUACACUUUGUGUAGUUCAUGUGAUUGGCCUGGUAAUUUAUGAUCUGAAGUCAGAGCGUCGCCAAUAAAUAAG